rnacentral:rRNA from 1 species
AUUGAACGCUGGCGGCAUGCCUUACACAUGCAAGUCGAACGGCAGCGGGGGAGAAGCUUGCUUUUCCUGCCGGCGAGUGGCGAACGGGUGAGUAAUACAUCGGAACGUGCCCUGUAGUGGGGGAUAACUAGUCGAAAGAUUAGCUAAUACCGCAUACGACCUGAGGGUGAAAGUGGGGGACCGCAAGGCCUCAUGCUAUAGGAGCGGCCGAUGUCUGAUUAGCUAGUUGGUGGGGUAAAGGCCUACCAAGGCGACGAUCAGUAGCUGGUCUGUGAGGACGAACAGCCACACUGGGAAUGAGAGACGGCCCAGACUCCUACGGGAGGCAGCAGUGGGGAAUUUUGGACAAUGGGCGGAAGCCUGAUCCAGCAAUGCCGCGUGUGUGAAGAAGGCCUUCGGGUUGUAAAGCACUUUUGUCCGGAAAGAAAUGGCUCUGGUUAAUACCUGGGGUCGAUGACGGUACCGGAAGAAUAAGGACCGGCUAACUACGUGCCAGCCGCCGCCGUAA